AACGCGAAGAACCUUACCUACCCUUGACAUGUACGGAAGCCGGAUGAGAGUUCGGUGUGCCCGAAAGGGAGCCGUAACACAGGUGCUGCGUGGCUGUCAUCAGCUCGUGUCGUGAGAUGUUGGGUUAAGUCCCGCAACGAGCGCAACCCUUGUCGUUAAUUGCCAUCAUUCAGUUGGGCACAUUAAUGAGACUGCCGGUGACAAACCGGGGGAAGGUGGGGAUGACGUCAAGUCCUCAUGGCCCUUAUGGGUAGGGCUUCACACGUCAUACAAUGGUCGGUACAGAGGGUUGCCAAGCCGCGAGGUGGAGCCAAUCCCAGAAAGCCGAUCGUAGUCCGGAUCGCAGUCUGCAACUCGACUGCGUGAAGUCGGAAUCGCUAGUAAUCGCGGAUCAGCAUGUCGCGGUGAAUACGUUCCCGGGUCUUGUACACACCG
rnacentral:rRNA from 1 species